rnacentral:rRNA from 1 species
AUUGAACGCUGGCGGAAUGCUUUACACAUGCAAGUCGAACGGUAGCACGGGGGCAACCCUGGUGGCGAGUGGCGAACGGGUGAGUAAUACAUCGGAACGUGCCCAGUCGUGGGGGAUAACGCAGCGAAAGUUACGCUAAUACCGCAUACGAUCUACGGAUGAAAGCGGGGGACCGUAAGGCCUCGCGCGAUUGGAGCGGCCGAUGUCAGAUUAGGUAGUUGGUGAGGUAAAGGCUCACCAAGCCGACGAUCUGUAGCUGGUCUGAGAGGACGGCCAGCCAAGCUGGGCCUGAGAAACGGCCCAGACUCCUACGGGAGGCAGCAGUGGGGAAUUUUGGACAAUGGGCGCAAGCCUGAUCCAGCCAUUCCGCGUGCAGGACGAAGGCCUUCGGGUUGUAAACUGCUUUUGUACGGAACGAAAAGGCUCUGGUUAAUACCUGGGGCUCAUGACGGUACCGUAAGAAUAAGCACCGGCUAACUACGUGCCAGCAGCCGCAGUAA